UGAUGCGAGGGUGAUCUGGAUGUAACAUCUGUUACCCCAUUGAUUGCCAGAGUUGAUUCGGCUAAUCUGGCUGGCUAGGCAGAUGUCCCCUUCCCCCCUCACUGCUCCCUGUGCAUCCCUUCUGAAGCUGCAUGCUCAGUUGAAAAUGAAGACCUUCCCUGAAUAGAGGAGGACCAGUCUUCAGUUAAGAGUAUACCAGUAGCUGCACUCCCCUGCUAGAACCUCCAAACAAGCUCUCAAGAGUAGCCAUUGUUCUUAACCAUCUCU
rnacentral:sRNA from 1 species